GGUAAGUGGCUGGGGGAGACACAGAGCAGACAGCAAAAUAAACCAGAGUAGCUAGUAUCAUGGCCGGACUGGAGGAUCAUUGUGACAUUAUCGGACAGCUCCGAAGUUCAUGGACGCGCAUUGUCAUGGCAACGGGCGUAACAACUGCGCAAGCUGACCAACAUGGCAGAGUCUGAAGCGUCUGCUGCGGGACGCUCUGUUCCUGGGGGGAGGAAGAGGCAGAGGUCAGAGGUCAACCAGUUCAAUGAGCCUGAAACCAGGUGAGCUACAGGUGAGCAGACGCUGCAGGCUCACAGACUUACAGCUGAGAGAUAAUUCAGGACCUGGACCUUGAGCAGUCUCAUCAGCUGCAGCAGUCUGAUGAGGGACCCAAGCAUGAUGUUCAACCUAC